CCUACGGGUGGCUGCAGUGGGGAAUAUUGGACAAUGGGCGAAAGCCUGAUCCAGCCAUGCCGCGUGUGUGAAGAAGGCCUUCGGGUUGUAAAGCACUUUCAGUGGGGAAGAAAGCCUUGGGGCUAAUACCCUCGAGGAAGGACAUCACCCACAGAAGAAGCACCGGCUAACUCCGUGUCAGCAGCCGCGGUAAUACGGAGGGUGCGAGCGUUAAUCGGAAUUACUGGGCGUAAAGCGCGCGUAGGCGGUCUGAUAAGCCGGUUGUGAAAGCCCCGGGCUCAACCUGGGAACGGCAUCCGGAACUGUCAGGCUAGAGUGCAGGAGAGGAAGGUAGAAUUCCCGGUGUAGCGGUGAAAUGCGUAGAGAUCGGGAGGAAUACCAGUGGCGAAGGCGGCCUUCUGGACUGACACUGACGCUGAGGUGCGAAAGCGUGGGUAGCAAACAGGAUUAGAUACCCUAGUAGUC
rnacentral:rRNA from 1 species